rnacentral:lncRNA from 1 species
GUUAUUCUCCCGGUAUUGGGCACUCUCAUUUAAUGCUCUCUCGGCGAUGAUAGCUCGAUGAAAAACCUCUUGUGGGUUGGCAAGCGCAAUAUAUCUACUUUAUUUUUGAUGUUCCACCUCAGUCCUACUUCAAAUUUCCUUGUCUUGCGAGAUUCCGUUGACACUACAUGUAGGGCAUAUCGAGAUAAUUCCUUAAAUUUGGUGUUGUACUCCACCAUGGUCAUCAUCUCUUACGCCAAGUUAAG